rnacentral:hammerhead_ribozyme from 1 species
GUACUGCUGAAGAGUCCAAAGCUGGGACGAAACAGCUGUCCAGUAC